GAUAGCAACCAUGUUAUGUUUACACCACAUAAACUUCUUGUCGGAUAUGGAUCCCUAAAAAUGUAAGUACCAGUUCGUCGAAACGAUUCUGUGCACUUUCAGUACAAUUUUUGUGAUACUGCUCGGCGAAAGAUUGAAUCAAUAAGUACACUUGACAUAAAUAUAACCGGAAUGAAAAUGUUUGUCGGUGUCGGUCAUGCAAGUGCAAAUACGUCCACGGCAAGUUUUUAGUGACUGAUUGGACCGGCGGAAAAAGCUUCGGAGGUCAGAUGAUGAGCUGGUCCUAAUCUCACAAAAGACGGAAGUGAUUUUAUACCCAACUACUAGUGUUCCAAGAUCUACCACUGCUUCUACAGUUUCUUUAUCACAACUAAUCGUUCGUUCGGGGUUCACACACGUUCAAUAUGCACUAUAGAGAGUAUUGACAAAACUGUUAAAAGUGCAAUGUAAAAAAAAAAUGGAUUGACGAUGUGCAUCCUAAGAUUGACGUAUUGAAUUCCAUCAAUCCGUCCGUAACGGCCCGCUAUUGGCCCCAAGCAAUUGAUUGGGAGCCACUAACUGCCCUGCAAAGAAAAAUGCGUCGGAUGAAUUGCGAAGGACGUGACAGUUAAAUCAGAAGUUAAGGC